ensembl:lncRNA
CUAGUCCAACCCCCCUGCGAUGAAUAGGGACACCUGCAGCUACAUCAGGUUGCUCAGAGCCCAUCCAGCCUGACACUGAACGUCUCCAGGGACGAGGCAUCCACAACCUCUCUGGGCAAUCUGUUCAGUGCCUCACUACCUUUAUUACAAAAACUUCUUUCUUAUAUCCGGUCUAAAUCUCCCUUCUUUUAGUUUGAAACCAAUUCCCCUUUUUCUAUCACAGCAGACCCUGCUAAAGAGUCUGUCCCCUUCUUUCUAAUAGACGCCCUUUAGAUACUGAAAGGCUGCUCUCAGCUCUCCCUGGAGCCUUCUCUUCUCCAGGAUGAACAGCCCAAGCUCUCUCAGCUUGUCCUCCUAGGAGAAGUGUUCCAUCCCUUGGAUCAUUUUUGUGGCCCUCCUCUGGACGCCUUCCAACAGGUCCAUGUCUCUCCUGUACUGAGGACUCCACAUCUGGACACAGUACACCAGGUUCAGAGUCACUUCACUGUCAAUUAGAGCAAAAGCAGUAUUUACACUGUACAUUAAAACACCUAUCAGUGUAUCUGAGAUCUCAGCUUGUCAGGUAGACUCAGAGCAUGGAGCCCAUAUAAGUUUCAAGAGGUUACAUGAGGACUACAGAAGGCUAAUAGCAUGAUAACAGCUGCUAGCACGGGAUGUAAGCAAUGCAAACAUCAGAUUCAUGCAGUUUGGCUAGCUUGUUGCCAAGGAUGUCAGACUCCUGAGUGAUGGAGAAAGCUUUGCCACAAUUGACACUGUCUCCAGCUUCCAAAGGCUGAAAUAAUACUCCUGGCUAUAAGCCAUCCUUUGCCCACAUCCAGGAGUGCUCCAAACAUGACUGCUUCAGAGGACCUGAGAAUACUGACACCAGCCUAGCAGAGGACUCCAUGAAAAGUGAAAAAACAUCCUGCAGUCUCUCAUCCAGAUGUAUCAUUUUGGCACGUCGAAGAUGAAGAGACACUAUAGCUUGCAAAAUUAGAUCUCACCAGUCUUACAGGUAAGAUCUAUCAAGUUUCAUCUGCAAAUGUGGCACCCUACAAAUGUGACUAAACUACUUCCAGAGCCAGGUCACACAAGAAAGCAGCAUAGCUGCAUUCCUGCUUCAGAGGACCACAUCAACAGCCUACAGAGCCAGGUUGAUGUUUUCCAUUGCGUGUAACUGGAGGUUACAAUGUGCCAUGCGACUAAGCAGUCAGACAACUUCAUUAUAGCCUUACUUACUGUCAGCAGGUUGAUGCUGUUUAUGCAGGUGAACGGGCUCAACGUGGCUUUGGCACUUCAUGAGAGCUUCCUGGGAACUGGAGCACUACUUACUAUAUAUCACUGGAAACAGCAUGGUAGCUGUUGGGAUAUAUACAAGAGCAACAAAAGGGACGUUGCAAUAUCUAGGAGAAAAGAAUUAACACCUGAUACAUUUUAAAAGUACAGUGAGCAGGCCAAACAUUUAAGGUAAAAUAACCGUUUUCCAGAAGUGAUUUCAUUACUUUUCCUUCUGUGUUAUUUGUAAUUUUCUCAACAGUGCAGUAUUUUUAACUUUGAGACAAUAUAUUAAUGUGGGGAUAUUGUCAGUGUAGCUAAUCUUUUCUUUUAGGAACAUCUUAAAAAUUAGCAUAUCUAUCUAAACUGCUAAAAGAGAGAUUACCCCAUCGUUAACUACACACACAUGUUAACGAGAGAGGUGGGAUCGAGACCUCAUGACAACUGCAGACCUCUCUCUACGCACUUAGGCAUAGUGUACCCAUAGCGUAUAAGGGAUGUACCUUUGUUCUGUUGGGGUGCACAUUAAAAAGGAAAUAUCCCCUGGGCAUCCGGGGCCGUAUUAGAGAAUGCCUGCUUCUUAAUACCCACAUUUGUUUAAGGAGUUUUAUUUGGGUCGAGGUUUGUCUGGCAACAGGUAGACCAAAUGUUUGAGACAGGAGAAAGACUGCAGUUCGUCUGCAUUUCAGAGCACUCUUCCUGAGACAGGCUAUGCCGGUGACAACACAUGAUACUGUCUGAGGUAUGUGCUCACUGUAUCUUCUUCCCAGAAAUAAUACAUACUUUAGAGAACAGAGGACAAUAUCUGAGAAGUGUAACUGCUACUUAUACAGCAAAUGCUCUGUAUGCUACACAACUGUAAAAUGAUCAAUCAAGGCUUGUCAAAAAUGAAAAUCCACCAAAAUAAUAAAAAAAAGGCAUGAAAUGAAAUAAAAGGGGAAAAAAUAAGAGCUGAAUGCACAUACUCUAUUAAAGCAUGAAUAUCAGGAUAAGGCAUAUGAAAAGAGACGUAGGAGAGCAACUGUAGUUUUAAAACUUGAUAAUUAAAGAUGAAACAAAAAGUAGAAUAAGAUUAGAUUGAAGGAAGGAAGUCUAGCAAGGUUGUGGAAACUUGAGAAAAAAUAGUUACAUGUAGAACAAAUAAGAAACAGGAUGUUGUACUUCAUAAAGUUACACAAAGUUAAAAGAUUUAAACAUAAAAAAUAUAACAGCUUUCAGUGUAAUUUAUGGUAUAAAGACACUUCUUAUUUUGUGGAGUAAAAGCAAGCAACUUCUGAUCUUCAGAUCAAUCUAAAUAGAUAUUUAAUUGUUUAGAUUUCAAGGUCUCAAUCAAUUACUUCUUCCAACAGUAAAUAUCCAUAGUUAAAAUGCUUUGGGAUGUUUCUAUCUUUGUACUCUGUCUUUUUCUCUCAUCUCGAAGAAAAGCUCAAAGAAUAUAAAUAUAAGGAAUAAUUUUUUUACAGUGAGGGUGGUGAGGUAUUGAAAUACGUUGCCCAGUGUUGUGGUUCAUGUCCUGAUCCUGGAGACUUUCAAGGCAAGGCUGGACUGGGCCCCAGGCAACCUGAUCUAGCUGUGGUUGUCCCUGUUAGUUGCAGGGGAGUUAGACUAGAUGGUCUUUAGAGGUGCCUUCCAACUCUAAGGAUUCUAUUAUUCUAAAAGCUAAUGCAAAUGUAAAAGCUAGAAUGAAAAAUCAGUCUUUCAAAAUGAUAAUGAUUUGUAAGCUUUCAACAUUGUCUAAAAAUCUGUGUAAAAUGCAUGCACCAUAAUGUGAAAUAAACAAAUGAAAACAUAGCUUAGAUGUA